GAGCCACCCAGGCGCCCCUGUAAAUGCGUUUUUGGUGGACAUUGUGCGUACAUUUGUCAUUGCACUGUAAGGUGUACCAACCACCGUCAUUUCCUCCAAUAUGGAAAGCUGGAGUGCAUGAUUUUUGGUAGAGGGGGACUGAGUUUGCACUCUCCACUG